rnacentral:tRNA from 1 species
UGGGAAUAUAAUUUAAAACUUGGUAAAAUAUAUAACUUGCACUUAUAAAUUAUUGGUUCAAAUCCGAUUAUUUCCAU